UUUUAUAAACUUUAUCUUACAUUUUUUUUAACUUAAUUUUUUAUGCUGUAAAGAAGUAUUCAAAUAGAUAUAAAAGCACACAAAAUGUCAUUAUUUAUUACAAGUUUACGAUAUUUAUUAUAUGAAUAUCAAAUUUAUCUUAAACUACGAUAUAAACAUUUCUGAUAGAAUUUUUUAUUGUUUAGAUAAACAUUUUAUUACAAGUUCUCUUAUAAAGUUGGACAAAUCGAAUACGAUCGCCACUACAACUUAUAUCUUGCUUUACUAAAUAUUUCGAAGAAUUAUUAAACCAUGAAGCCUAGUUUCAUUUUUAUAUUCGUGCUCGUCUUGAUUGUAGGAAUUAUUAUUCCUAGUGAAGUAAUUGCUGAUUGUAAGUGUACAGGCGAAAAAAUAAUAGAGAUAGUAAGAAAGGCUAUGCCCAUAGAAUGUGGCGGCGAACAUAAAGUUGAAUAAUAAUUCUACAAUAUUUUGGAGAUCCACCUAUAUGACGACAUAAAAACAAUGAUACUGGCAACAAUAAUAUACAAUUAAACGAUGAAGAUAUCCUGAUGAUGAUGAAAAAA